rnacentral:rRNA from 1 species
UACGUAGGGAGCAAGCGUUGUCCGGAAUCAUUGGGCGUAAAGCGCGCGUAGGCGGCCCGGUCAGUCCGUCGUGAAAGUCAAAGGCUCAACCUUUGAAUGCCGGUGGAUACUGCAGGGCUAGAGUCCGGAAGAGGCGAGUGGAACUCCUGGUGUAGCGGUGGAAUGCGCAGAUAUCAGGAAGAACACCAACGGCGAAGGCAGCUCGCUGGGACGGAACUGACGCUAAGGCGCGAAAGCGUGGGGAGCGAACAGG